ACAUCCUGCCCUUGCCAUAGAUCAACCACAGGUGCAACCAAUGCUAUUUCUUUCACAUAAGGGGACUUGGAACCUGCCUGGAAGGAAUCCAUUUCGUCCAGAAUCCACUAUAGUUUCAGAACAUUUCAUCUUAUAU